rnacentral:rRNA from 1 species
UAAUACGGAGGGUGCGAGCGUUAAUCGGAAUUACUGGGCGUAAAGCGCGCGUAGGUGGUUGAAUAAGUCGAUUGUGAAAUCCCCGGGCUUAACCUGGGAAUUGCAUUCGAUACUGUUCAGCUAGAGUGUGGUAGAGGGAAGCGGAAUUCCGGGUGUAGCGGUGAAAUGCGUAGAUAUCCGGAGGAACACCAGUGGCGAAGGCGGCUUCCUGGACCAACACUGACACUGAGGCGCGAAAGCGUGGGGAGCAAACAGGAUUAGAUACCCUGGUAGUCCACGCCCUAAACGAUGAGAACUAGCCGUUGGGGGAGCUUAAUCCCUUAGUGGCGCAGCUAACGCGAUAAGUUCUCCGCCUGGGGAGUACGGCCGCAAGGUUA